CCUGGAAGCCUCAGCACCACUGUAAGGCUGAGGUCUGCAUUCACUUUCCCCUAAAGACUUUAGACUGCGUGACGACAUAUGGCUUGUUUACAAAUGAAAGUACGCUCAGCCUCGGUCAGCACCGGAUGCAUGUCAGCUGUUUGCACAGUCACUUUGGCACCAGAUGGUCACAGACGUGUAAUUGGGACAGAGAGGAGUGGUAGGGGAUCCGGUGAGGGCCCUCUGGACUCCCACCUCAUGGGCCCCCUGCUCCAUUCUGCUGUGGCUGUAAAACAAGAUUAUUUUGUUGUUUAGUUCCACCAGAUGCAGCAGCACCACUGGAUGGGCACUGUCUGGCCCUGAUGAGCAGAUCUAAGAGGGAUUAGUGGGCUGUUGUGGUGGAUCGGCAAGAACAGUGGGAGGCUGUCCACACACAGCUGUGUGUUUGUGUGUUUCAUAAUGUUCUGGCCUCUGGCCUGUUUCUGGCUUUGGCUCCAACCCUGAACCACCUUUUCCUCCCACUGACCUCACAGUUCGGGGAGCUCUCGGACUGCAGACAGCACAAAAUCUGAACUUUCUGGAAUGGCAUGAAAGCUUUUAGAGAAACACGAUUCUCCCUCAAAGAUUGUGGGAGAUAUGUGCUCAGACAGACUCCUCGGAAAGGUUUUUUGUUUUAUUAAUCAUUGGCUGCAAUUGUUUGGGAUUUCUUUAGCUUUACAAACAUGUAAAGCAUUUAUCAACAAAUAUUUUUAGAAAGUAUUUUUUGCUGAAGAAAGACAUUUUUGCAUCAAUAUUUGAUUAAAGGUAUGUUUUCUGAA